rnacentral:lncRNA from 1 species
AGAACAGGGCAGAGGAGCUUCUGAAGAGAAGAAACCUGGAGAUCUCACCUGGUAAUUCUCAUGAUCCACCUCCUAAUGUUUUGUUAACUAAGUCUACUCCGGUUCAGUUUCUUAGUGUAGAUUCUAGUGUAGAUAUAGAUAAUAAUGCUGAGUUACAAGAUUUUCUAGUUGAUAAAAAAUGGUGUAGCACUUCCUUCUGUGCUCUAUACCAAAGAUGAAACUCUGGUAGACAUAGCAAAUAAAUUAGGAGUUAGUUUGGGCAGAUCUGAAAAGGAGGUUGAUAACUGUAUUAGUGUGAUUAAAAAUCUAGAAGCUGCUAGAUGUAAUAUCUUUAUGGCUAAUCAAAAAAAGUUAGACUACCAGGCUGUUAAGAAGGGAGCAAAGUUGGAUGGCUUUGAUCCUAAGGAUUUUGAGGAAUUAUUUUCUGAUGGGGAUAAGGCUGAUGAUUUAGAACCGGAUAGUAGACUAGAUGAUCUCUUAGUUUUAGGAUCUAAUCAAAAAGUUCGUAGGAAAGGUUCCCCUGGGAUUGCCAGUGUGAAACCAAAGAAAAAGGUAGUUAGGAAAAAGAAGAAAAAAUAAUUAUGAUAGGGAUGUUUUGGAAUGCUAGAGGCUUAGGUGAAAUAGAGAAGAAAGGAUACUUGAAGGGUGUCAUUUUCGAUGAAAAGUUGG